GCAGGGCCCGGCUGUGCUGCCGGGCCGCGGCUCCGCGGGGCCGUCGCUCCUGGCUGCUUUGGGAACGGCGACCUCCUGCUUCCCGGCGCUGGCCUGCUGAAACGUGGAAAUACGUGAUCCAAAUCUGAGCGAACUGACUGCAGAUGUUUUUGUUGACUUUAUAGACUUUGAUUAUAUCUUUGAUACAAGAGAAUCCGCCCUGCAGGACGGGAGUGUAAUUCCAUCAAGGACUUCUGGUGACCUCAUAAACCAUGAGAGCUGGCAUUGACUUUAAUGGGCACCACGUGGUUAAGUUCCCAUGCAUCAUUUUGAAAAUGUAGGGCUUCAUUUGAUAUUGCAGAAGGAUACCAGACCUACCAUGUCAAAUUGUUUCUCUUUCUUCUUAAGGAGCCACCCGCUUUAUGUUACAGUCAGUCCUCUUUGGUAGCAAAUGAAAUAUGCCAUUCUGGAAAAUUAGUAUUUUCUCUGGCAAAAUGAACUUGAAAAGUGCCUUUCAUAGAAAAGCACAUAUUUGGGUUAUAUUCUUUUAAAUAAACUUUCUAAAAAGAUGGCAGAAAAUUCAAGGAAAGGUGUGGGGUUUGCAGCACUGGCUUUGCUUGCAGACUGGUUUUGCUUGCAAAUAUCAAAGUAUGAGACAUUUAAAAAAAUAAUUUGUAAAAAAUUUAGUAAUAGAAUUGUUAUGGGUCAGUUGAAAAAUUAGACCAUGUUAAGUUAAGUUAGCUCAGAUUGCUAGUGAUAAAUAACCUAAGUUAGAAUUACUUAAACUAAACCAGUUUAACUGUGUUCAGUGCACCCGUUCUAGGACUCUGUUGUUAGGAAUUUCCAGGGGUUCAAUAAGGUUGACUUGAAGUUUCAAUUUGUGAAAUUUGUUCCAUCACCUUUGUAAGGCACUUGGAGAUUUUCUCCUGCCUUCUCUCAACCUACAUUUCACCUGUUGAAACCAGUAUACACCCAUUGUCCAUACCUAUAAAAAGUUGCUGGAUAUCAGUCUAAAAAUAAGGUCUGUCAGCACCGCUCUGAUUCAGGAAAAUGUGGUAAUAAAGACAUAACCUAA